rnacentral:tRNA from 12 species
ACUUUUAAAGGAUAGAAGUCAUCCGUUGGUCUUAGGAACCAAAAAAU